UCCAAAGCUAUGAAUGACUGCAGAACUGCAAACGCCUAGUGUUCUUGUACAUGAAGAGGCAGGACUGAGAUACGUUAGGGACACUGCUUGGUCCGUUUUAGGACUUUUGCCAACGUCGAAAUAACUUUUGGUCAACAAUUAAUAAUUCAACCAACUUGUUCCUGUGCUAGCGCAAACGAGAAAUCUCCUGCACUACUUAUAAUAAUGGAUUUCGUUGGAUGAGACGGAUGUGUCAUGAGACCGAGGUGAGAUGAACUACCGUUUGAAAUGUGAGGACGCUUAGACAGAGACUUCACAGUUAGAUCACACUAGUUGGAUAACACCAGAUCACAUCAGUUAGAUCACACCAUCUUUUUCAUAGUGUACCUUGGCAGGUGGUAACCCAAUGAUUUAGUUUGAACUAUACUAAAUUUACUCUAUGUGCAUUUGACUUUUCAUGUUUUGAAGCUGCAAAUGAAUCUCUAUCUAUAAGGAUGUUAUAUCAUUAAUUGACAAAGGCAUUUUGGUUCAGAGAAAUAUUUGAUUGAAAGGAUCCACUCAGAGGACCCCCAAAGCAUUGCAAUCAAAUAUAACUUUUUAAACACAUUCCCUACCUUACUGUCAUAGACUGUUCUCUCUGGUGUACCGAUGCACCAAGUCUGGAACCAACAGGACCCUGAACAGCUUUUACCCCCAAGACAUACGACUGCUAAAUAGUUUGUUUAAUUAGUUAACCAAUAACUACCUGCACUGUCUGUAUUGACCCUUUUUGCACUAGCUCCUUUGACUCAUCACAUACGCUGCUGCUACUGUUAAUUAUCUAUCCUGUUGUCUAGUCACUUUAUCCCUGCCUAUAUGUACAUACAUACCUCAAUUACCUCGUACCCCUGCACAUGGACUCAGUACUGGUACCCUGCUAUUAUAGCUGAGUUUUCAUUACUCAUUCCUCGUGUUAUCAUUAUUCUAUUAUUCCUUGUUUUUUCCCCUCUGCAUUUUUGGGAAGGGCCUGUAAGUGUUUCCAUGACAGUCUACACAUGUUGCUUACAAAGUAUGUGACAAAUAACAUUUGAUUUGACUGUAAUAUGAUGUACUGUAUGUCUCUGUUAGUGUGGUUUGGGAUUUCCUGUGUGAGCCUGCUAUGUGGCUCUCCUCACCUCGUCCUCUCACUCUGGGGGCCCUGUCAAUAGCCAUAUUCCGUUUCCAUUUCCUCCCUCUAGAACACCAGGCAACCCAUUACUCUACUGUUAAAGCAGGAUGGACUUUUUGGGCUAAAGCACCUCAUAGCUCCCAAGUGAUGACAUGGAUCUGUUAGAUGGCUCUAAAGCUGUUUCUGCAGACUAUUGGCUUUAAAAAGGCCUGAGGCUGAAAUACUAGGAGACCUACCUUUUAAUGACUAGUCAAGAGACGGAGGGAAAUCGCUGGACGCAGGAGUUCACGGUAAUCUGGGUUCAUGCUGCUGGUUUGUUGAGGUCGAUUUGUUGAAGUUGACUCCUUGAUGUCUCAAAAUGGUUCUGUACCUCUAACAUAACAACAAUAAAUGAUUUUAUACUGAG